ACGAUGACAUGUGUCAACCGAGUCAGUCUGACCACCUGAUCCCGAGAGAGAAAAGAUUGAUAGAUAGAUAGACAGAUAGAUAGAUAGAGGGAAAUUUCUAAGAAGGGGAAGUUCGUUAAUCCAAAUAUCUUUAAUCCAGACGUGACUUUGUGGUACUGUCCGGAAUAACGAGUUUCUGUUUUAUGAAUCAUGUGAAUCACAAGGUGGGUAUAAAUGUACUAACACAUAGUGUGUAUCAUCAAAUAUUUUCCGUAUCAGGUUUCUAUGGUAACGGCGAUCUGGAAGCUCUAGCGGUGGACCAGGUUCUCGGUGUCAUCCAAGACGUCAUCAUCUUGAUGCACGACCUUUUUAAGGAGAAUGACGAAGCAAGGAAGGCAAAGUACACUAUAUGGCUGCAUAAAGUGAGGUGAGAUGGCGAAGGAGAUAAAGGAUGUCAAAGUACCGCUGUAUUUCGGGAUGUUGGAGAAAUUGCUGAAACAGAAUGGCAGUAAUGGAUUCUUUGUUGGCAAGAAGAUUAGUAUUGCUGACUACAGUCUGUUUGAUAUCUAUGAUAAAACCCCAGAGGCGAUAGUGAAGUGGGAAGACUACCCUCUGGUCAAGAAAUGUAUUGACAACGUUGGCGCCAACCCUGGAAUCAAAGCAUGGGUUGAGAAACGACCAGUUACAGCGUUCUGACAUGAUAUAUAACGACAUUGUCCCUUGCGUUUGUUUGUUGCUUAACGCCGCACUCAGCAAUACUCCAGCUAUAUGGCGGCGGUCUUUAUAUAAUCGAGUCUGGACCAGACAGUCCUGUGACCAGACAAUCCAGUGGACCAGCUCAAUCCAUGAGUAUCGACCUACGCAGCUGGCACCCUCUUACAACACCCUCUUUCGACAAUCAUGGGUUGCUGAAGACCAAUUUUAAAACCCGGAUCUUCUCGGAUCUGGUCCCUUAUGUACAAGUGAUAAGUGCUUUGGGGAAUAAUGGUGAACAUAUACAAACAGGCGUAUCGUAACAAAGAUGUAACUCCCGAUUUGUUAUAGAAUAUUGUAAUUAUUUUCUUACGAAAAACAGAAAGACAUGCUCCUGUAUCGGUUCAUUUUGAGACUCAGUUUUGUUCGAAAGGAAACAUAAGUAAGCAGUAUUUCCACAUUUUAGAUACUGACUAGGAAAUGUAUCGGUAGCAGUGUGUCACCGUCCUUUCUUUACCAUAAAUUCAGUGUUGUAAUUCAGGCGGAUUCAUUAAACGGAAAACACCCAUGUAAAGAACAGUUUAAAGAACAGACCUGGUAAAAAAGAAGUGUUCACACUUAAAUAUUCUGUAUGUAACUGCCAUACAGGCAUGUCAACAAGGGUAAAUAGUGUGUGAAGUGGUGUUCCCCAAGGUUGUGUUAUAUUUCCUGUAUCAUUCAUUAUACAGGUUGACAAAACAGUCAUAGUCAUAGACAGCAAGUAAACAAUCUCAAAUCAUUUUACAAAGCAAUCCUGAUUAUUGAUGGUGUGAAAAUAAACUAGCUCAUUUUAAUAACGUAUUAAUUUUGAAAAUAAACUUGCAGC